rnacentral:rRNA from 1 species
AUUGAACGCUGGCGGCAGGCCUAACACAUGCAAGUCGAACGAGUGGCGGACGGGUGAGUAAUUUCUGGGAAACUGCCCGAUGGAGGGGGAUAACUACUGGAAACGGUAGCUAAUACCGCAUACCAUCGGAUGUGCCCAGAUGGGAUUAGCUUGUAGGUGAGGUAACGGCUCACCUAGGCGACGAUCCCUAGCUGGUCUGGGAGGAUGACCAGCAACACGGGAACUGAGACACGGUCCAGACUCCGACGGGAGGCAGCAGUGGGGAAUAUUGCACAAGGGGCGCAAGCGUGAUGCAGCCAUGCGGGGGGUAUGAAGAAGGCCUUCGGGUUGUAAAGUACUUUAAGCGGGGAGGCGUUACCCGCAGAAGAAGCACCGGCUAACUCCGUGCCAGCAGCCGCGGUAAUAC